rnacentral:rRNA from 1 species
GACGAACGCUGGCGGCGUGCCUAAUACAUGCAAGUCGAGCGCAGGAAGCCAUCUGAACCCUUCGGGGGGACGACGGUGGAAUGAGCGGCGGACGGGUGAGUAACACGUAAAGAACCUGCCCAUAGGUCUGGGAUAACCACGAGAAAUCGGGGCUAAUACCGGAUGUGUCAUCGGACCGCAUGGUCCGCUGAUGAAAGGCGCUCCGGCGUCGCCCAUGAUGGCUUUGCGGUGCAUUAGCUAGUUGGUGAGGUAACGGCCCACCAAGGCGACGAUGCAUAGCCGACCUGAGAGGGUGAUCGGCCACACUGGGACUGAGACACGGCCCAGACUCCUACGGGAGGCAGCAGUAGGGAAUCUUCCACAAUGGACGAAAGUCUGAUGGAGCAACGCCGCGUGAACGAUGAAGGCCCUCGGGUCGUAAAGUUCUGUUGUAAGGGAAGAACAAGUGCCGCAGGCAAUGGCGGCACCUUGACGGUACCUUGCGAGAAAGCCACGGCUAACUACGUGCCAGCCGCCGCCGUAACAC